AACCUUUACACUGCACGACAGUGCGAUAGGGGGACUCCGAGUGUGAGGGCAUAUAGCCCUCGCUUUUCUGAACCGUAAGGUGGUUCAGGAACAAGGACUGGGCAAGACCGGUGCCAGCCGCCGCGGUAAUACCGGCAGUCCGAGUGAUGGCCGAUAUUAUUGGGCCUAAAGCGUCCGUAGCUUGCUGUGUAAGUCCAUUGGGAAAUCGACCAGCUCAACUGGUCGGCGUCCGGUGGAAACUACACAGCUUGGGGCCGAGAGACUCAACGGGUACGUCCGGGGUAGGAGUGAAAUCCUGUAAUCCUGGACGGACCACCAAUGGGGAAACCACGUUGAGAGACCGGACCCGACAGUGAGGGACGAAAGCCAGGGUCUCGAACCGGAUUAGAUACCCGGGUAGUCCUGGCUGUAAACAAUGCUCGCUAGGUAUGUCACGCGCCAUGAGCACGUGAUGUGCCGUAGUGAAGACGAUAAGCGAGCCGCCUGGGAAGUACGUCCGCAAGGAUGAAACUUAA
rnacentral:rRNA from 1 species